AACGGUGACAGCCUGACACCCGCUUUGCUCUAGUACAACGCAGACAAUGCUAAACCAGCACACACAGGCCUGCCACCAGGGUGUCAUUGUCACCAUGGGUGGGGGCACAUGGAAGUACAAGAGGACCAUCCUGCUACUGGGGCUAUAUCUAGACAGUUUAGCCUUCACUCACUUUUCUGCACAGCAUCCUGAGGUAAACCAAUUUUAAAUGCGUUUGUUUUCAGUAAACCUGCUAUGACGAUUUAUACUAACAAACUGAACUAGAACCCAUUUGAAUAGGUUUUCAAUUUGUUUUAUCGUUUUUCGUUUUUAAUACAAAUGCCUGACUGUGCUCAAUUGUCAAGCUGCAUGCAUGAAAAACUGGCCAGCCCAAACAGUGUAUUACUCAUUAGCAAAUGGAACUGCAAGGAGUCCACCAAGUGCUUCCUUAUCGUUAAGGUAGUACAAGUAUUUAUAUCAUAAAACGGAUGUGUAGCUUGAUCUUUAGGGGACAGGACCACCAACCAAUACAUGCAGCUUUUUUGUGUGUGUGGACAGAAGGUACUUCUGACAUUCAGUUUUGCUAUAUAGAAACAGAAUGAGUAAAUGAACUUUUUUUCUUUUUUGCAAGAGGUAAGUAAAAGAUUCAAUUUGAUUCUUCUAGAGGGGGGGAAAAGGAGUUGAAAGUAGGUCUUCAUUUUGCAGUCAUCAUCUGUACGAAUUCUUCAUAGUUGACUUGUCCGUCUCCGUCAAUAUCUGCUUCUCUGAUCAUUUCAUCUACUUCUUCAUCUGUUAGUUUUUCUCCUAAGUUUGUCAUGACGUGACGUAGUUCUGCCGCACUGAUGUAACCGUUGCCAUCCUUGUCAAAGACUCGGAAUGCCUCACGGAUUUCUUCUUCGCUGUCUGUAUCUUUCAUUUUUCUAGCCAUCAUAGUCAAAAAUUCUGGGAAGUCAAUGGUGCCAUUACCGUCAGCGUCCACUUCGUUGAUCAUGUCCUGCAGCUCGGCUCCUGUUGGGUUCUGACCCAGUGACCUCAUGACAGUUCCAAGUUACUUUGUUGUGACGGUGCCAUCGCCAUCAUUGUCAAAUAGGGAGAAAGCUUCCUUGAAUUCAGCGAUCUGUUCUGUCAGCUGAUCAGCCAUGUGCGAGCGAAGGGAGGAAGAGCACAGAGAUCAAGGGUGGCUGCACCAGCGCAG
rnacentral:lncRNA from 1 species